rnacentral:rRNA from 1 species
UACGUAGGGUGCGAGCGUUGUCCGGAAUUAUUGGGCGUAAAGAGCUCGUAGGCGGCCUGUCGCGUCGGAUGUGAAAGCCCGGGGCUCAACCCCGGGUCUGCAUUCGAUACGGGCAGGCUGGAGUGUGGUAGGGGAGAUCGGAAUUCCUGGUGUAGCGGUGAAAUGCGCAGAUAUCAGGAGGAACACCGGUGGCGAAGGCGGGUCUCUGGGCCGAUACUGACGCUGAGGAGCGAAAGCGUGGGGAGCAAACAGG